rnacentral:rRNA from 1 species
AUGGCCAUUGGGCUAGAGGCUAGUCGACAGAGAUUCCUCUGGGUCGUGCGGAGCCCACCAAGCGAUGACACGAAGAUAGAGCCGGACUUGGAUGUGUUGCUUCCAAAAGGUUUCCUAGAACGAACCAAGGGCAGGGGCCUUGUCGUGAAGUCUUGGAAGCCAUGGGCAGGAGGCUGCACCUCUACUACGUCUUCAAGCCCGUCGCAACCCCACCGGAUCUCCUAUCCAGGUCUUGUACCUGCACAUCCACCUGUGGCCAGUGAGGAAGGGGGUCGAAGAUGCUGCUGCCGCCGCAUCGACGACCAACAGUUCAACGGAGAGGGCACAUGUGACACCCAUGACGGUCCUAGCCACCAACAAGGCCAACCGCAGCCGAUGUGCCACGCUGAGAGAAGGGGGGUGGGAUCGGUUGAUGCUGCUGUUGCUGCAAGACACAGAGAUGGAAGGUGUCAUAAAUAUUUAGAUAUUUGA